ACAGACCCCUCUGGUUUUACAAAGGCGGCUGUGACGAGGACUUCCCACGGCCUUGUUGGAGGGCGUCCUGUUAGCCCUGCUCAGCCUGAAUAACUCAAAUUCUCCGAAUUCGCAGGGUAAUCCGCUUCGCUUGGAGCCGUGUAAACUCAGGCUGACAUACACACUCAAGCUGUAUAUGUAAAUAUUUGUUCUCUUUUCCAGCCAGUCGGUCUGGCUAUUAGAAGCCUCUUCGUGGGUCUUAAAAUUAAAAUAAUAAUAAUAAUUUUUAAAACUCCAACUUUUCACUGCACCACCCCCUACUCCUGAAAUAAAUUUGUGAGGGAAAACGGCAAGUUAAAAUAGCUGUCGAAAACGUUUGUGUGAACAAAAUGAUGACAUCUGGAAGAGUCGUGAUUUCAGCCUGUCUUGGUCAUCGUGUGUCAAUAGUUUUUAACAAGGUGCUGGAUGAAGGUGACUAAAAAAUGCAUUCUCAUAUCACUAUCGAAGUUCGAAGUGUCGAUUUAUAAAUGUUUGAGGAAAUUCGUAAAACCAUAGACUUUGGUGCUGGAAGGAAUUUACGCUGUCUUCUAGCCGGUCUCCAUGUGCGUUUGAGAGAGAAAAACAGGGCCCGACGUGGCAGAGCGCGCAUCUCCCCCCAGUCCACCUCAGCGGCUAGAAGCAGACGGAAGGGCAGGACUCACACUCCGGGCCCCGACCCUCAUCAGCCCCUGGCCCUGCAGCUGUGGCUGGGCUGUUAGCUGAAGAGCCAGAGUAGAGUUAACGACGGCUGGCAAGCAGAGGGCUUUCAGAUUAAACCGCAGGAUGCAUCUGAGGAUCCGUUUCUAUUCUUAAAUUUUUUGCUGGUUUUGGACAACCCAGACCCAAUCCAGACCCCUUUUUUGGUUAUUAAAGUCCCCCGCCCCAACCUGUCUCUCCCCAGACACACCUUCUCAAUAGGAAAACAACUGUGUCUUUUCUUAAUUACCUCAAUGAUUUUGACUGGAAUAUGAAUAAUAUCAU
rnacentral:lncRNA from 1 species